GCAAAUUAUGUAUUUAUGAGGGUACAUCAGAAAUACUGAUGACCUGAACUUCAAACUUCUGAAAAAUAAGCUUGUUUCUUGAAAUAAAUUAGGUUAGAUCUAUUUUAGUGUCAAUAUUUUGUUGUUGUUGUUGUUGUAGUAUUUCAUUAUGUAAAGCUGACUUCGUAGCGAUAGGUUCGAAUCUAUAUUUUGCCAUUAUAAUUUCGUUUAUUUCAAUUUAAGUUGUCGAAUAUACUGUAACAUCAUUGAACAUAAAUAUUUUUUCGUAAAUUUACUUUGAGUAUCUCCUUCUUAAAAAGAAACGUUGAUUCGGAUGUACUGACACCUGAAUAUCUGCAUGCGCGCCGAAUGUUUACAAAGUCCGUUAGUAUUUUUGGUGUCUCUCGGUGAUACUGUUACACAUUAGAACAACUGAAUAAAAUCUCCUUUCAAUUAACUAUCGAUAUAUCUGGUGUUUUACGUAAGACUGAGUCCCAAUAUUAUUGCACAUUCGGUAGCAAAGAUGUUGACACCCCCAUGUCGUCUGAUGAUGACUUUUACGGGAUCGAAUAAGGUUUGGGCAUUGUAUUCCCUGAAAGGAAUGAGAGGAGAAAAGAAACUGGAAGACCUGGCUAUCUGCAGGCCAAUGCUGGCUGCAGGUCAAUAUUGAAUGCUCUUAUGAAAACUCAUAAGACAAUAACAAAAAGAAAGAAGCUGAGGAUGCUGUUUUUAAAACAUGCUCCAUUCAAAAAAGGUGGAUUGAAAUUUAAGAAAGGUGCGUCUGCUGCAGGCAGGGAGGAUUUGACGGUCAGCCAGAGGAUUUGGAGAUAUACUGUAAUGUCUUUAAUGUGGACUUGUGUGUGAUUUAAGUUUUCACAAGGGUUUUAGUGUGUGUGAAAGUAUGUCAGUUUUCAAAAUUGUGCUAUGACAAUUUGCUCAAACUACAUAACUCAAAGAACUUUAAAGCGGUCUUGUUGACGUCAUGAGCUUUUCUUUAGUACCAGUAUUGGUGAUAAGUCGCCAUAUGACCUAUCAUGUGUCGGUGCGACGUUAAAUCCAACAAAAAAAAAAAGUAUUGGUGAUAUAGGCCCAUGAUUAAUACUGUAGAAAGUGAACAAGUUCACUUCUCGAUACAGAUAAUCAUAUAGCCUGAUCUCUGAAUGAUAUUUAUGAACCAAAAGAAGGCAUAAAAUAAAAACAUACAGUAGUGAUUUAAAUUAUUGAUAUUGUUAAACUAGA